rnacentral:rRNA from 1 species
ANCNGNACCCCAAACCGACACAGGUGGUCGGGUAGAGAAUACCAAGGCGCUUGAGAGAACUCGGGUGAAGGAACUAGGCAAAAUGGCACCGUAACUUCGAGAAGGUGCGCCGGCUAGGGUGAAGGAUUUACUCCGUAGCUCUGGCUGGUCGAAGAUACCAGGCCGCUGCGACUGUUUAUUAAAAACACAGCACUCUGCAAACACGAAAGUGGACGUAUAGGCGUGACGCCUGCCCGGUGCCGAAGGUAAUUGAUGGGGUUAGCGCAAGCGAAGCUCUUGAUCGAAGCCCCGGUAAACGGCGGCCGUAACAAUAACGGUCCUAAGGUAGCGAAAUUCCUUGUCGGUAAGUUCCGACCUGCACGAAUGGCGUAACGAUGGCGGCGCUGUCUCCACCCGAGACUCAGUGAAAUUGAAAUCGCUGUGAAGAUGCAGUGUAUCCGCGGCUAGACGGAAAGACCCGUGAACCUUUACUGUAGCUUUGCACUGGACUUUGAGCCUGCUUGGUAGGAUAGGUGGGAGGCUUUGAAGCGUGGACGCCAGUUCGCGUGGAGCCAUCCUUGAAAUACCACCCUGGCAUGCUUGAGGUUCUAACUCUGGUCCGUAAUCCGGAUCGAGGACAGUGNNNGGGGGCAGUUUGACUGGGGCGGUCUCCUCCUAAAGAGUAACGGAGGAGUACGAANGGCGCUCAGACCGGUCGGAAAUCGGUCGCAGAGUAUAAAGGCAAAAGCGCGCUUGACUGCGAGACAGACACGUCGAGCAGGUACGAAAGUAGGUCUUAGUGAUCCGGUGGUUCUGUUGGAAGGGCCAUCGCUCAACGGAUAAAAGGUACUCCGGGAUAACAGGCUGAUACCGCCCAAGAGUUCAUAUCGACGGCGGUGUUUGGCACCUCGAUGUCGGCUCAUCACAUCCUGGGGCUGAAGCCGGUCCCNGGUAUGGCUGUUCGCCAUUUAAAGUGGUACGCGAGCUGGGUUUAGAACGUCGUGAGACAGUUCGGUCCCUAUCUGCCGUGGACGUUUGAGAUUUGAGAGGGCUGCUCCUAGUACGAGAGGACCGGAGUGGACGAACCUCUGGUGUUCCGGUUGUCACGCCAGUGGCAUUGCCGGGUAGCUAUGUUCGGAAAGAUAACCGCUGAAAGCAUCUAAGCGGGAAACUUGCCUCAAGAUGAGAUCUCACUGGGAACUUGAUUCCCUGAAGGGCCGUCGAAGACUACGACGUUGAUAGGCUGGGUGUAAGCGUUGUGAGGCGUUGAGCUAACCAGUACUAAUUGCCCGUGAGG